UUUUUUUUUUUUUUAUCCUGUUUUUUUGCAGAGGAGACGAUGGAGUGCUCCAGCUCGUGCUGUGCUCAGAGGCUGCUCUGACAGAGCUGCAGGAAGAGCUGACGAAACCACGUGCAGUCCUAAGUGCGCAGUACAGCCCCAACUGACAUCACCUACAACUGUUCCCCUGAAAGAUUAAGACUGAUACAAGAUGUCAUGUCGGAAGAUGCUUUCAAAAAUUUUCACAAUAUCUUCUGUAACUGGAGAUGAACAUCAAGCUAGACCUUCUGUGGGUGGCAGAACCAAACCAAACAUUGCAACUAUGAUAGAGAAACUAUGAACUAACUUUCAUUUAGAAACUAUCAAGAGAAAAGCAGCUCCAGCUGUCAGAAUAAAAGUAAACUGAAAAUAUAAUGAGUUAGCAGGCACCCACCAGUACCCGUCAUGCUGUGCCGCAGGCUCAGCUCUGCCGCUCACGCCACACGUGCUGCCUUGUGACAGGGAGCGGAGUGGCUGAAGAGCAAAGAAGUGCCUUGGACAAACUUGCGGUUCAGAUAAACCAAAUCUUACUCAAACACUCUGCUAUCUUUCAGACCAGUUAUUUGCAUAUGUUAAAAUCUAAUUUGAAUUGUUCAUCACAUAGAACUAGGCAAGCUUUUUUUUUUUUUUUUAAUGAGAGAUGUAACUUCAGGGCACUAUUAAAUUCUAAUUAAAAAUCAGUCAAAAGCACCCUUUUCUUAGUGUUUGUGCCUGCAGCAACACUUCCACUGUGGUAUCAAAAGCUCAGUUCAUUACUUCUUAAUUAAUUUUGCCUUGAGAAGCUCUAAGUUCUCAGAGGACCUGUUGGGUUUUUAGAGUGUUGUCUACAUAGUGUUUGCUUGUACACAGCAGCCACAAUGACAUUCAGAUCAGGAAUCCUUACCCAUGUAAUCCAAUUUGGUACAAUGUCUGCAGCCUGCCAGCGUUUGGGAACCUGAAAGAUGCCUGAAGUUCACAAUACAGAGGAUAUCCUGCCUGGAGCUAUUGGUAUGGUAGGGAUUUUCCCAUCUCCCUAUUCCCAGUGUGUCUAUUUUAUAGUUGAAAAGGUUGGUAUACAGGUUGAUUGAUUUUUUUGUGUGUGAGUGUUUUGGUUUUAGGUGUUGGUUUUUUUUUGUAAGGAAGAUCAUGAUGAAUAGAAAACUAGUCUUGCUCCUGUCCCCAAAGAAGUCUUGUCUGAAAUACUUGAGUCAGCCAAGAUUUUUUCCCUCUACCAGGCUACUGGAGAUGUGCAUGUUUGUUUUUUUUUUCAAGAUAAGUAUCCUGCAAUCCAGAUCUCCCACUGCAAAUGAUUCAUUUCCCCUCUUGGCCUGGCUGUGUGCGCACGUGUCUGGUGGUGGUGAGCCAGAGCUGACCAGUGCCCUGGGACAAAGAAAGGAAAAGAAGGUAAAAGGGCGGGGGAGAAUAAUCUACCCAGUCUCAGGGGACAUUUUUCACCAGUUUAGGGCAUUUCCACCAGAACAGUUUUGGUAAUGAACAGACCAUAAAUGUGCUUGGGGUGGCUUGAACAUCUGAGCAUUCCUUGAACUCUACAAGACAAGGGUUUGGCAGGAGAGUGUGAACCAAACUUGCAAAUGUUCCCCUGAGCUGGGCCAAGAGGGACAUCUGUAGCUGCUGUCUGUGCCAGGAGGGACCUGGAUGAUAUAAAUUUCUAUUAGGAACCUUUGUAUUAAGCCUAGUUUGCACAAGCAGACCCUGUAACUAUCAAAGGCAAUAGUUCAAAUAUGCCUUCAUGUGUGUCCAAGUCUUCGUGCUGCAAGGCACAG